GUGGGGAAUAUUGGACAAUGGGCGGAAGCCUGAUCCAGCCAUGCCGCGUGUGUGAAGAAGGCCUUUUGGUUGUAAAGCACUUUAAGCGAGGAGGAGGCUCCUUUAGUUAAUACCUAAAGUGAGUGGACGUUACUCGCAGAAUAAGCACCGGCUAACUCUGUGCCAGCAGCCGCGGUAAUACAGAGGGUGCGAGCGUUAAUCGGAUUUACUGGGCGUAAAGCGUGCGUAGGCGGCUUUUUAAGUCGGAUGUGAAAUCCCUGAGCUUAACUUAGGAAUUGCAUUCGAUACUGGGAAGCUAGAGUAUGGGAGAGGAUGGUAGAAUUCCAGGUGUAGCGGUGAAAUGCGUAGAGAUCUGGAGGAAUACCGAUGGCGAAGGCAGCCAUCUGGCCUAAUACUGACGCUGAGGUACGAAAGCAUGGGGAGCAAACAGGAUUAGAUACCCUGGUAGUCC
rnacentral:rRNA from 1 species